rnacentral:lncRNA from 1 species
GUUCUCANUACUGCAACUGGAGAGAUUCCUGAAGCAGAUGGUUCCAAUGGGAAAGGCGAUGAGAUGCCACUUGCAACUGUGAAGACAGAGGUAAAUAGUAAUAUCAGGAGCUGGGAGUAUGUAAGUUUAUAAUUAUAAUACUGUAGGUAAGAAGUGAUGGGUUUCCUGUUGAAUUCCUGAGUCUUGGUGUGUUUCAUGUAUCCAUAGCCCAUAAGUUGUGAUCAGUGUUAAGUAUGCUUGUCCUAUUCCUGUUAAGGUGGCCAUUAGAAUCAUAUCACAUUAGUAGGACUUAAAAUUUCUUCUAUAGUCUCAUUAUCGUUGAAGAAUAAGAUUGUGUGAGCUGUAGCAGUUUACCAGUACUUAAGACACUUGUUCUUUUUUUGAUCUUCAGGCAUCCCCCGAAAGCAUAUUGUCUCCAUCACAUGGCUCAAAUCCCAUUGAAGAUCAUUUAGAGGCAGAGACUCAGCACAAGUUUGAAAUGUCAGGUAAAUAAAAGACAGGAAAUCUAUACUCUGUAACUAACCUGAAAUAAUUUGCUCUGUCUUCUGAGGGAUUGUGGGUUGUGGGUAAGUAGAGGAGAUAGAACAGGUAGGAAUGGAAAGGAAAGCUGCAGGGGAUUAUUGUCCAUAGGAAGGGGAAGGCUAAGGUGGAAAAAUCUUCAGGUAGUCUUUCUCUCCUCUGCAGACUCAUUGAAAGAAGAAUCAGGGACUAUUUUUGGAGGCCAGAUAAAGGUAUUUCAGACUUUUCUUUAUUCCUCUUGCCAUGUGAUUAGAUUUCCCUAUAGCACUACCUUUUUAAUAAAUUUUGGUGUACUCUCACAUCUUUAUUCUCUGAGACUGGUAAGGAGUUGCAUGGGGAAAAGCUGCAGUGGACAGUGUGGCAUAGUGGGAGUACUAUAACAACAUGCGCUUCCCAUCUGAAAGAGUUUGUAAAUAUCACACAGUCCUUUCUUUACAUUUAGUGCACAGAUAAACUUUGAUAUACCUAGAGUGAUUUAGAGUGAAUAGGGAUAUCAGAGCCAGGGAGAACAUAGAAGAAAUCAGAUUAUUAAUUAUCCAGUGAGAUAUAUAGAAAAUUUUUCUUUUUUAGAGCAGUAGUUAACAGAGACUUAAUGUGAUGUGAGUUUACUCCAUCAGAUGAGACAUGAAAUAAAACUUUUUUUUUUUUUUUUUGGUAAUUUUUGUUUAUUUUUAAAUGUGAUGGGGAUCUAACCCAGACUCACAUGCAUGCUAGGCAAGUGUUUUACCACUGAGCUAUCUCCCCAGUCCCCAAAUAAAACUAUUUUUGAUAACUUUGUACCCAGGGUCAGAAUUCCUCUUAAGAGCAAGGGGAAAGAAGGAAUGCCUCUUAGCUUAGUCUUAAGAAAGUAGCUUUUUUUAGAUCCUGGGUUUUAUUCUUAGUCAAGGUUUGAGAUUACUUAGCCAGUGGCUAUAAGUAGAUAGUAGUAUAAGUGAUAGAGGGCUCAGUCAAGAAUCAGUGUCAGGCCAUUUCUAGAACUGAUCUAACUCAAAAGGCAGAUCAUGUUUAAUGAUGCUUUGCUGGAUAGCUUUGUUUGCAUAUGUUGACUGGAGCACACUGUGUCUAAGGAUGCCGCAGGUGAGGAGGAGGAGGAGGAUGGAGUCAGUGAAGCAGCCAGUCUAGAGGAACCUAAGGAAGAAGAUCAAGGAGAAGGCUAUUUGUCAGAAAUGGAUAAUGAACCCCCUGUAAGCGAGAGUGAUGAUGGCUUUAGCAUACACAAUGCUACCCUGCAGUCACAUACACUGGCAGACUCCAUCCCCAGCAGCCCUGCUUCUUCACAGUUGUAAGUAUCUGAAAUUCUUUUUUUUUUUUUUUUUGAGGCAACACAGUAAAGAUGAGAAGGAGGAGAAGAGAGGAUCUUUAUUCUUACUUUCUCAUCUUCCCUUUCUGGGCCUGGAACAAAUAGUUGACAAAAAAAUAAUUAGGACUUUCUUUUUUUUUUUUAAACUUGUGCCUGCUAGAACUCCUAUAUCUCUGUUUCAGCUCUGUCUGUAGUGAAGAUCAAGAAGCUAUUCAGGCCCAGAAAAUCUGGAAGAAAGCCAUCAUGCUUGUAUGGAGAGCUGCAGCUAACCAUAGGUAAGUGAGCCUUAUUAGUUUCUCUUGCUCCUCAUUGUUGGAGUGGUUUUCUGUGGGACUGCUGGUGUCUGCUCCUUACUACCUUCAGUUACUUAGAGUAAGCUUCCUCUCCUAUGCUUCCGGAAAAUAAAUCAGUAUUGCACCUCAUUCUUUUUGGACAGGUAUGCCAAUGUCUUCCUGCAGCCUGUUACAGAUGACAUAGCACCUGGCUACCACAGCAUUGUACAGAGGUAAGCCAUGGUUCCUCCAGUAUACUGACUUGCUUAAAUUGAAAGUCAUCCAGACUUAGUGAGUAUUUGUUUUAGAUAAUAAUAAGUUCAAAGUUAGCAUUUUUGAUGUAAGGGUAUCCACAUGCUAAAACCAUUCUAGUGACUGGAUCACCACUGAUUGUCUAAAAAAAUUAACACCCACAUACACACUUCACAGGCUGAGGUUGUAGCUCAGUGAUAGAGCACUUGCCUAGUAUGUAUGAACACCGGGUUUUAUUCUCAGCACCAAUAUAGAUAACUAAAAUAAAGGUCCAUUGAUAGCUGAAAAAUAUUUUUUAAAAAAUUAACCCCUUUAAUUACCUUUCUCACUGCUUAUUAUACAGACUGACCUUUUUGGAGCUAAGUUUAUGUUUUGGGAUGAGGGGUUGGCAUUAGAAUCCUGGAGGCUGAAAUUGAGAUAUAUAAGAAGUUGUAUAUCUUAAUAAUGUUUUCAGAAAUCCAGGCAAGUCCUCUUUCUACCUCCACUGCCAUUUUACCUCUUUUUUUUUUUUUUUUUAGGCCUAUGGAUUUGUCAACUAUUAAGAAAAACAUUGAAAAUGGACUGAUCCGCAGCACAGCUGAAUUUCAGCGUGACAUUAUGCUCAUGUUUCAGAAUGCUGUAAUGUAUAACAGCUCAGAUCAUGAUGUCUAUCACAUGGCAGUAGAGAUGCAAAGAGAUGUCUUGGAACAAAUCCAGGUACUUUGAGGCUCCUUUGUGUUUCAGCAAGGAUGAAGGGAAGGACUCAAAUUGAUGACAGGGAAGGGUGCCAUAGCUUUUACUUGAAAUAGCCAUAAGGAACGACGUUAGGAAUAUAACAUUUUUGUUCUUGUGCAAUUCGUGUUGAUUUUCUCCUUUGGGGGAAGGAGUUAGAAGAUUCUUCCUUUCUAUAACUACUUGGCAUGUGUGCAUAACAAAGAGAGUCUUCUCUGUUCCUUUUUAUCACAGGUAACUUGCUUCUAUCCUAUAGUUGCAUAACCAGGCAUCCUUUGGGAAGUUGACCUUGAAGGAAUAUUGUAUCUUUGCAUGUAUGCCAAAUUACUUGAAUUGCCCAAUGGUCUUGGUUCAUCCUAUAUUUAUUCUUUUUCUCAUUCUUAGAGGUUAGAGCUCUUUUGUUCUGUUUUUGAGGGUAGAGAUUUUGGUCCUAUUAUUAUAAACCUAUAUUAAAGCAAAAAAAGACAUUUUGACAUUUUCAAUUUCUUUAGAAUACCUAUUAUAACUAGAAUUAAAACCUAAUGUGGGGCUGGGUUGUGGCUUAGUGGUAGAGCGCUCGCCUAGCACAUGCAAGGCCCUGGGUUCGAUCCUUAGCACCACAUAAAUAAAAUAAAGAUAUUGUGUCCGACUUCAAAAAAUAAAUAUUAAAAAAAAAAAAAACGUAAUAUGCUGGGCUAGGGUUGUGCGGCUCAGUGGUAGAGCACUUUUCUAGCACACGUGAGGCAUUGGUUUGAUCCCCAGCACCACAUAGAAAUAAAUAAAGGUAUUGUGUCCAUCUACAACUAAAAAAAAAAGAUUUUUUAAAGGGGGAAAAAACAACAAAAGCCUUAAAAAAUAAUAAUAAUAAAAAAAACCUAAUGUGCUAAACUUCCAAUAAGGCAAAAAACUUUUGAUGCUGGAUGCAGUGUUAUAUACCUAUAAUACAUAUACCAGGUACUUGGGAAGCUGAGGCAGGGGGGUUGCAAAUUUGAGGUUAGCCUUGGCAACAUAGUGAGACUGUGCCUCAAAAAAUAAAGAUAAAAAGGACUGGAGGUGUGACUCACUUGUAAAGCACCCCUAAAUUCAAACAAAAGCAAACAAACAAAACUUAAAGUGUCUUAAUUUUUUCCUACUAUAUCAGGUCUCUGGCCAACCCUGUUUCUUUUCCCUAUAGCAAUUCUUGGCCACACAGUUGAUUAUGCAAACAUCUGAGUCUGGAAUCAGUGCUAAAAGUCUUCGAGGAAGAGAUUCUACUCGAAAACAAGAUGCUUCAGAGAAGGUGAGGUGAUAGAUCAGAAAAGAGACUAUUCACCAGUAUUCCAGUGCUAAAAGUCUGAAGUAUUCAAAGAACCUUAUGUUAGUACUUGGUAUUGCCAAGCUUCUGCAUUCUAAUGGUGCACAGAAACAGAUCAUAGAAUAGUAGUUGUUUGCUCCUAUCCAAACAAAGAAAUAUGCUGUUAACUGAGAGGCCCAGUAACAUGGCAGAAAUUUUGAACUGAGUGAAUGAAAUAUUAAUUCCUUUUGGGAGAGUACUCUCAAGGGGGUGGGGGGAAUUGACCUAGCUUGCAGCAGUUAGGUACCAUCAAUUCCUGUUCCACAAACAUGAUGACUAGAUUGCUUUUGUAUCUCUUUCCUCUUAUUCUUGGGUUUUUAAAUUUUGUCUUUGUGUGUAUGGUGCUUGUGUCUCUGUCCUGAGGUUUGGGGUGCUUGCGGCUGAGAGUUUCCGUGGAACCUGAUCAGUGUUUGUUUGUCCUCUAACAGGACAGUGUCCCCAUGGGCUCUCCUGCCUUCCUUCUCUCUCUCUUUGUAAGUAUUGAAUGGCUGCAAAGGGUGGUGUUGCCAGAAAGGUUCUCAGCUCCUGCUGGGGGUGGGUGGCAGAGGGAAGUCCAACACAUAGACUGUGGCAAUAUCUUAAACUUCUGUUUACUUAGGUGGAAUAAGAAACUGUCUUUUCUUCUGCGUUUCUGUCUUCUUGCAUGUGUGUGUGUGUGGGCUGGGUAGGGAAUGUUGAUGGUAUCACUGAGGUAUUCUUGGGGUAACGAUCUAGGAUGCACCUGCUCUUCAUUUCUUGACUCCACCACUUACUAAUUCUUUACUUACAAAUAGAAAAUUACUUAGAGCAGCAGAUACUACCCGACUUUUUAUUGGUGUUCUUUAUACUGGCAGAUAUUUAGCAAGUACUUUUCUCCUUUCUCUUAAAAUAAACUUUCAAAAAUAAUCCCUGAUACACAAACACUCAGUAAAACUUAAGCUAAAGAUCUCAGUAUUAAUGCCCACUAUAAACAGUAGUGGCUGGUGGAAUUAGAGGUAAGCUUAGUAGAACUAGCCUAAAAACUUGUAUUCCUUUCCUCCAUGAAUUAAAUGAUUCUCUUAUUCUGUGUGGUUCAUUAUAGAACAUGAGGCAUACUAUACUGGAAGGGCAUCAGGCUAAAAAACUAUAUGGUCUUAAGAUCAUUGGGUAAUUUCUUGGGGCCUUGUUUCCUCCUCUGUGUGAUAGAACUAAUAUAUAAUGAGUUACCUGUCCAGCCUACCUCACAGGGUUGUUGUGAGGAUAAAAUGAGAAUGAUAAUUAUGAAACUGGCUUUAAAAAAAUUAAAGUGUGUAUAUAAACGCAAGGUGGUAUUUUUGUUCUUACAAAAGUUACCUCAUAGGUAACUUAGGUUCAUGAGCUCAAAAUAUUUUAGAAUCCUUGCAUAUUAGAAAUGUAAAAAUGGUCUGGCCCAGCAAAAGUGUUCACUAGUUCAUCUUGCCUACAGGCCUUUCAGCCUGUACCACAGACAGAACACUAUGGUCUCCGUUCUUUCUUAUUGGCCUGCAACAGUGACUCUGGAUCACCAAGCAGUUGGCUGGCUAUUGCAAGGCUGGUUAAUAGGAUCUUUUAUCUAUUGAAGACAGCAAAGUAUUGCACAAGAGGAAGGAGCUGGGCUGCAGGGAGAGAGCAGCAGAUGGAAAGAAGCCUGAUUGUCCUGAUCUCAUGGAAAACAGCUGUCAGGAGGUGCUAGGGAACUAGUGCCAGGGUCAGUCUGCAGGAAAGGCCUUUCUUAUAGGGACCAACAGCUGGACAGGUAUGUUAGCCAAGAACCUCACUAUCCAAUUCCCUUUCUAACUUUCCCACCUUUAGUUUACUCUUCCUGUUCCUUUGCACAUGAUUUGGGCCUGGGUGGUAUGACUAACAGUCAUUCUGUGGGACCCCAGGUGAAUUCCAAGGACCUCUGUGAUGGUCAUGAUCCAGAUAAUCUGUCCUACAUUUCCUCUCACAAACUACGAGGUGUUUUUUUUAGCUACUCUGUGGGAAGAAAGAAAUAUGCCCCCUCGUCCCUCUGAAGUUUUGUGCUGAUUUUUUUUUCCCCUCUCCCCCACUAAACCAAAUCCCUGCAUUCCUGUUGCACCUUGUCUCUUAACUCUUAACCAGCUUAUUCAUACCCUCUUUCUUUCUCUGCUGUCAUCUAGGAUGGGGGCACCAGAGGACGCCGCUGUGCCAUUGAAGCAGACAUGAAGAUGAAAAAGUGAAGCCUCAAGAGUGUUCUCUUUGAGCUAAACCUGAAAUAGAAGUAAACAAGAUAGAGCUUGGGCUUGUGGGCCCUGUUCCAGAACUGGGAAUUACAGAAGAGGAGGCGCCCGGGCCGCAUGACAUGAGCUGGAAAAAUCUCUCUCAGAGAGUUGGAAGUAACACAUUUGCCUGUUUUAGGGCAAAAAUCGUGGGCUGUGUUAAUGCCCUCAUGUGUAGCUAGCAGAUUGUAGCUAGUUUGUACUGUCUUGUGAAGUGUACAGACUUUUUAAAAAUAAAUCUGUGAAGUGCGUGUGUAUACAAUAAAAUGAAAAAAAAAAAAUCUCUGGC